UGGGCAACCUGCCCUCAGCUCUGGGAUAACUCCAAGAAAUUGGGGCUAAUACCGGAUAUGACCGCUGACCGCAUGGUCUGGUGGUGGAAAGAUUUAUCGGCUGGGGAUGGGCCCGCGGCCUAUCAGCUUGUUGGUGGGGUAGUGGCCUACCAAGGCGACGACGGGUAGCCGGCCUGAGAGGGUGACCGGCCACACUGGGACUGAGACACGGCCCAGACUCCUACGAGAG
rnacentral:rRNA from 1 species